rnacentral:rRNA from 1 species
CCUGCCCAGUGAUCCUAUUCAACGGCCGCGGUAUUCUGACCGUGCAAAGGUAGCAUAAUCAUUUGUCUUUUAAAUAAAGACUAGUAUGAAUGGCACCACGAAAGCUUAACUGUCUCCCUUGCUUAGUCAAUGAAACUGAUUUUCCCGUACAAAAGCGGGGAUAUUAAAAUAAGACGAGAAGACCCUAUGGAACUUAAAACACGCAAUCACUUUAACUUAAUAUAACAGCAAUAAAUGACUGAACUGCUGUUUUUGGUUGGGGCGACCACGGAGCAAAACCCAACCUCCGAGAACACUACCCAGAUAGACACAACAAAGUACCAAAACUUUGGAUUUAGACCCAAUAAACUUGAUCACCGAACCAAGCUACCCUAGGGAUAACAGCGCAAUCUUCUUCAAGAGCCCUUAUCACCAAGAAGGUUUACGACCUCGAUGUUGGAUCAGGAUACCCAGACAGUGCAGCCGCCGUCAAAGGUUUGUUUGUUCAACAAUUAAUAAUCCUACGUGAUCUG